GCACCUUUAGCUCAGUUGGUAGAGCAACUGACUCUUAAUCAGUGGGUCUGGGGUUCGAGCCCCCAAAGGUGUA
rnacentral:tRNA from 2 species